UACGUAGGGUGCAAGCGUUAAUCGGAAUUACUGGGCGUAAAGCGUGCGCAGGCGGUUGGGCAAGGCAGGUGGGAAAUCCCCGGGCUCGACCUGGGAACUGCAUUUGUGACUGCACGGCUGGAGUGCGGCAGAGGGGGAUGGAAUUCCGCGUGUAGCAGUGAAAUGCGUAGAUAUGCGGAGGAACACCGAUGGCGAAGGCAAUCCCCUGGGCCUGCACUGACGCUCAUGCACGAAAGCGUGGGGAGCAAACAGG
rnacentral:rRNA from 1 species